rnacentral:lncRNA from 1 species
UGUUCACAGGCUCCAGAUAAGGCUUUGGGUGUUGUCAACAAAGAUCAAAACCGUUCAGAGGGUCGUUCUCAACUUCCCCCUUGAUCUGCCCCAAAACUGUCUCUUUAUGGCCUUCACACCACCAUGGGUCUUGGAUUGGGAAUCCGACCAACUCUCUGUGUUUUUCUCUGGAUUCUUUGUGUUUCAGGGUGUAGAAAUCGACCAGAAUGAUCAGAAAUGAGAGAGAGAGGACGAUUUAAACUGUCCCCAACCGCCUGGGCGAGCAGUUACCAAAAUCCCAUCCCUUCUUCCCAAAACCGUCCCAUAACCGUCCCAUAACCACCCAUUGGCAUCGUCCCAUAACCGUCCCAUAACCGCCCAUUGGCGGUUUCUCCCCUUUUCUUCUUUUGGCAAAUCGAUCACUGAGCCUCAGCUCACACUCUGGGAGCUUGCCCGCUCCCUGUCCCAAGCCUAAGACCCAUUUGGUCAAACCGUCCUGCACCCGGACCAUCGGCUCACCCGGUAACCGUCCCAGACUCGCCCACACUGAUCCGAACCAGAACGCACCGUUCACCGGAUUGAGCUG